UACAGAGGUCUCAAGCGUUGUUCGGAUUCAUUGGGCGUAAAGGGUGCGUAGGCGGCGCGGUAAGUCGGGUGUGAAAUCUCGGAGCUUAACUCCGAAACUGCAUUCGAUACUGCCGUGCUUGAGGACUGGAGAGGAGACUGGAAUUUACGGUGUAGCGGUGAAAUGCGUAGAUAUCGUAAGGAAGACCAGUGGCGAAGGCGGGGUCUCUGGACAGUUCCUGACGCUGAGGCACGAAGGCCAGGGGAGCAAACGGG
rnacentral:rRNA from 1 species